CGGGAGGGAGAGAAGGCGAAGGGAGCUCUUGGCUGGUAUUGUAAUGGCUGUUCUGCAAGUUGCAGAGUUUUGGAGGCAGAAAACCUGGUCAUUGUGCUAGGGAGAGCGCUAAAUACAGCGCUCCCGAGCAGCUCUUCAGACAGACUAGUGAAUGCAUUUGUAAGUUAAAGUCAUUCACAAAGGAAUUCCCUGGCUGACACCUGGAAUGCUGGAAUGGAAUGGAAGGAUGGUGACAUUAAUAGUAACGGCAGUAACAAUACUAGCAAAAUGUAGUCGUUCCUUUCCGAGAUGCUCUUGAAACACCUCCUGCGGUCAGGUUCAGGCUUGAAGUCCAGGAUCUCAUCUUUGGUAUCACUUCCAGGACUUCUCUGAUGAACUUAAACUGCCUGGACCUUCCGUGUUUAUGCUGUUCUGGAGAAGGAAUCUGGAGUUUUGAGUCCGGGCUCAAGCCUUGCUCUUCCAGCUAUCAGAGUUGCAGCUUAAG